rnacentral:tRNA from 1 species
GUGGAGUGUGGUACAGUGGUAGUGUACUUGCAUGCCAUGCAUGAAGUCCUAGGUUCAAACCCCAGAACCACA